GGAGGUAGUGACAAUAAAUCACAAUGCGGGACUAUUCGUCUUGCAAUUGGAUUGAGAACAAUGUACAACUCUUAUCGAUAAGCCAUUGGAGGGCAAGUCUGGUGCCAGCAGCCGCGGUAAUUCCAGCUCCAAUAGCGUAUAUUAACGUUGUUGCAGUUAAAAAGCUCGUAGUUGAAGUGUGGGUGGUGCUGUCUGAAUGACUUCGGUUAGUCAGAUGAUCACUACCCCCUUCCAGUAUCCAGUAGUGGGUAUUCAGUUACUUACUAUUGUGUGUUGGUCAUUUACUGUGAGAAAAUUAGAGUGUUCAAAGCAGGCGUUUGCUUGAAUAGAUUAGCAUGGAAUAAUAAUUGAAGGCUUUCGUGUUCGAUUUGAUUGGUUUGUUCAUGGAAGCAAGGUUAAAAGGAACAGUUGGGGGUAUUCAUAUUCACUAGUUAGAGGUGAAAUUCUCGGAUUUAUGGAAGAUGAACAAGUGCGAAAGCA
rnacentral:rRNA from 1 species